GAGGCUCCCUUGCUUCUCAGUAAGCCUCCAUCCUCGGAGAUUCCCACCCCCUCCUUCAUCAGACUCUCUCUCCCUCUGUCUGUCUCUCCCUCUCUCUGUCUCACCCCUCUCUGUUUCUCUUUGUCUCUCUGUCUCUGUCUCUGUCCCUCCCUCCCUCCCUCCCUCUCUCUCUCUCUCUCUCUCUCUCUCUCUCUCUCUCUCUCUCUCUCUCUCUGUCCCUCUCUCUGUGUGUCUGUCCCUCUCUGUCUCUGUCUCUCUCACCCUCUCUGUUUCUCUUUCUGUCUCUCUGUCUCUCUCUCUGUCUCACCCUCUCUGUCUCUCUCUCUCUGUCCCUCUGUCUCUCCCUUUAUUUCUCUCUCUCUGCCUCUGUCUCACCCCUCUCUGUUUCUCUUUCUGUCUCUCUGUCUCACCCUCUCUCUGUCUCUCUUUCUGUCUCUCUGUCUCACCCUCUCUCUGUCUCUCUUUCUGUCUCUGUCCCUCUCUCUCUGUCUCUGUCCCUCUCUGUCUCUGUCCCUCUCUCUCUGUCUCUCUGUCUGUCCCUCUCUCUGUCUCUGUCUCCCAUCUCUCCAUCUCCCUCUCUCCCUCUCUCUCUCCCUCUGUCUGUCUCUCCCUCUGUCUCACCCCUCUCUGUUUCUCUUUGUCUAUCUUUCUCUGUCCCUCUCUCUCUCUGUCUCACCCUCUCUGUCUCUCUCUCUCUCUCUAUCUCUGUCUGUCUGUCCCUCUCUCUGUCUCUGUCUCACCCUCUCUGUUUCUCUUUCUGUCUCUCUGUGUGUCUCUCUCUGUCCCUCUCUCUCUCUCUCUCUGAGCCUCUCUGUCUCUGUCUGUCUCUCUGUGUGUCUGUCUGUCCCUCUCUGUGUCUCUCUGUCUCUGAUCUCUCCGUCUCCCUCUCUCCCUCUGUCUCCCCCUUUCUCUCUCUGUCUCUUCUCCCAUCACAUUGUUCUUCUCCCUCUCCUCCCAGCCCAGCUCGGCGUUCCUGGCUCCUUUGACAGCUUUUCAAAAGCGGGGAUGACUUCCCGCCCCCCUCCCCCCAGGUGGCUCGGGGAUGGUGCAGUUCAGGAUUUGGAGAAGAAUCAGUCAAUUCCUCCUUCCAUCCCGCUUCCCCUCCCUGACCCCAGCAGCGCACACCCAACAAUCCCCAAGAUUGUUUGCCCCGACAGCCCAGGCUGGUCCUGGGUGGUGAGAUCCCCGCGGAUUCCGCUUAGCGUGUGCUAG
rnacentral:lncRNA from 1 species